UACGAAGGGGGCUAGCGUUGUUCGGAAUUACUGGGCGUAAAGCGCACGUAGGCGGACUUUUAAGUCAGGGGUGAAAUCCCGGGGCUCAACCUCGGAACUGCCUUUGAUACUGGAAGUCUUGAGUAUGGAAGAGGUAAGUGGAAUUGCGAGUGUAGAGGUGAAAUUCGUAGAUAUUCGCAGGAACACCAGUGGCGAAGGCGGCUUACUGGUCCAUUACUGACGCUGAGGUGCGAAAGCGUGGGAGCAACAGG
rnacentral:rRNA from 1 species